UAGUAAAGGUCUCCUUCCUUGUGAGUAUGGAUGACGCAGUCGGACUUAGGGUAGGAGACACAUGUCAGCACAUAGCCUUCUUCCUGCUGCGCAUCAUCAAGGAAUGAUCCAUCCGACUGGUCGACGGAGCCAGCCUCGAUCUUACCGGCACAGGUAGAGCAUGCUCCAGCACGGCAUGAGUAGGGAAGCUCUACUCCAGCGGUCUCGGCGGCAUCAAGGAUGUAGGUGUCAUCCGGAGCCUCGAACUCGUGCUCUUGCCCUUCUGGUGUGAUGAGCUUAACCUUGUAGGUAGCCAUUGCCGAGACGUCAAGCUUCUUGGAGGAGGCCUUCAGGCUUGGAAACUGCAUGCCUUGGCUGAAGAAGCUUAGAGAUGCCGGGCUCUUGACCGCCGCCACCUUGGAGGCCUGAGUUCUAGCAUUGCUCAAGGACACACAUGAAGUUGCAAGUGUGCACGUCGCCAUCUUGAAACCUAGAAUUGUUCAAA
rnacentral:sRNA from 1 species